CCAUGGUGAGCAGCUUCCAUGCAGGAACCUGGAGUCUGAUGGAGCUCAUGAUUACAGCUGCAGGACUUCUCCAGGCAGACCCCAGCAUCCUCUUGCUGUUUUGGCUUCCUACUGCUUUACUCUGAGGGCCCAGAGGGACCGUGGCAGUACCAGAACUGAGUAGAGAAAGAGUGCCAUCAGCCCAGAGACAAUGAAGACAUGUGGGUCAGAGGCUGUUGCAUCUCCGGAACUACAAGAUUCACAAGUUUUUGUGACAAAAGCCAUACUUACCAUGCCAUUCAAGUUUGACCUCGACAAGAUUAAAGUCUUGUAUUGUAGGUGCAUUUCUGGGGAUCUGGUGCCCUGGCUACCCGAGGAUCUGUCUCCAACAAAGAUUGGUGAUGACAUUGUUUAUCUAGGUAACCAGUGACUUGGAUGAAUUUAGGGAUUACAGUAGAACCUGUCAUUCAGAACUGACAGGCCAGACAGAGGGGGUACCUUGUGCUUCUGACCUGAUCAUCAAAAUUUAGGGAACCAGCUAGAGAAAGAAGCAGGGAAGCAUUAAGCACAGUGGAAACUUCACCUUUGAUGCUGUUGUCAACAUUGCCCAAGAAAAGCAGCACCGAGUUUUGGCCAAAGAACUGUCUGGAACCAUCAGAGACAUCCUGGGGCCUGUGCUGUGAGUGAACAGUGGUGUCAAUGACUGCCACCUUCAUGAUCUCAUAGAUGACCUCAAUAGUAGUGCUGAGGAAUGCCCAGUGAGUCAUGAACCACAAAGGGAAAACUCUCAACAAAGAAUUUUCUGGUAGCCAGAAAAAAAUCUCAGGGGAAACUGUUUAAUUUUGGAAAUGCACCCAGGAAAACAGUGUUAGUCUUCUGCCAGCCCCUAGGAAGGAGAUGCUGUAAAGCCCUUGCUUUGACAAUGGGGAGUGAGGUAGGGGUUCAGAGAGGGGAAGAUGUCAGCCAGCGUCACACAGCAAGUCAUGGGACUAAAGUGCAGUCUGUAGGCAGGGCAGGGGGCCUCUUGGCUUGCUAGCCCCUCCUUUCCAAGCUAGAUUUGAGUCAGAGCUGAGGCAAAUGCUUAGGCAAGGAAAACUGUCUCGCCAGCUUGCUCCACAGGGAAGGAGAGUCCGUGAAAUGAUAUGAAGCCGAAAAUAGCGUGCCUUAGGAAAGAAACUACCAGCCGAUGACUAGUUUGUGGUGGAGGUGUGGGGCCCUCCUCCAGGAAGGUGGGAGUUGAAAAGGGACCAUGAUGCCACUGCCUGAACACUGAAGCUCUGGGCUGGGACUCAGAAUCCGUGUCACAAGAACAGGGUCCCGCUGGAGUAGCUCAAUCUGCAAGCACUUUCCUGCUGGGGUCUGCAGAACAUCCUGACAGAGGCCAUGGCUUGAACAGGGGCCAAGGAUUUAUCCAGAAGCAGCAAGCCCUGUACAAAGACGAUCCUGGAUUUAGAACAGAUGAAAGGUACUUUGAGGGAGUUCAAAGAACGGGCACUUGCUCCCCGAUGGCUGCUUGCUGGAUAUUUUGAGAGGCGACUGGGGCAUGAUUUCCCUCUCUGCUUCUCCCCGGGGUCUUUUCCAACACGGUUUCUCUCCGUUAGUAUAUUCCAGAGCUUUCAAGCUGGAAAGUCUUAAUAUGGAAAUUCCUGCCGCCGUGGGAACAGGCCUCUCCCAGUUGGGGCUUGCUAAAGCUGUUAUUUCGAUAAUGUUAAUGGUGAUGAUUAAUUGGCACUAAUGCUGAAGUUAUGAGGCCAACCUGUUUAGGUCCUUGGGAAGGUGGAGUACCUACACACAGAUGAGGAUGGAGAGAGCGAUGAUGAUGAAAGCAAUGGCGGGGAGCUGCAUUUUGGGAAUUUGCUGUGAAAUGUAGGGAACUCACUUAAGCUUGAACUUCAUUUUCUUGUCUGGCAAAGUAAAUUAUUGGCAGAAAAAAAAAAUCAUCCUCUGGGAAGGGUAAAAGAAACACCUUUUGCCUGUGAUCAAUUCCUGUCCAACCAAAUACUUGGUGUUAAGUAUGUAAAACUCCAUUAUCACCAGCUUUCUGGUGGAUGAUGUAAUGAGCACACCAAGGUGUGCAUUGAGGAACAAACUAAAGCUGAUAUGAAUGGCCACAAAGCAAACCAGUGACUGCUGAAAUGUGGGAGUAAUAUAAAAUGGAGUCACCGUCCUCACUUCUCUGCUUUGAAAGACACCUGGGGGUAGGGAUGAGAAAGCCAACUAGCAAAACCUUCAGGAUUGGAGACAAUCCAUCUGCCUGAGAGUGGGAGCUCCCUCCUCAGGGCAUUUGCUUCCUAAGAGGGUUCUGGAGAGGAAAAUAUUUACCCCAAUAUGGGAUCCAAUGGUAGAUGAGCAUUGAGUAGGCCCCCUUCUCUUCAGACCACAUCAAAUAGGUGACACCACCGGCCUCUUCAUAGAAGGAAUGUCAGUGUUCUUUAAACGGGCAUGUAGGAUGGGAAACCUUGUAGUCACGUUGGAAAAUACAAUCCGCCAUGGAUGAGGUAGGCCCAGAUAUUAACAGGUUCCAAAUGGAUUUUUGCUGAGCAAUCAAUACUUUCAAACCAGGGGUGAUUAGACAGCACUUCAAGGAAACAUGCACAAAUAUGUGUAACAUGAUAGUAGUGGCUAAAAGAGUGUGAAGGGUGCAUGAAUUACCUGUCUUUCAUGAUGGGUAUAGUUUCUGAGAAAUGCGUGCUUAGUCAGUUUCAUC